rnacentral:rRNA from 1 species
UACGGAGGGGGCUAGCGUUGUUCGGAAUUACUGGGCGUAAAGCGCGCGUAGGCGGAUUGUUAAGUCGGGGGUGAAAUGCCGGGGCUCAACCCCGGAACUGCCUUCGAUACUGGUAAUCUGGAGUUCGAGAGGGGUGAGUGGAAUUCCGAGUGUAGAGGUGAAAUUCGUAGAUAUUCGGAGGAAGACAAGUGGCGAAGGCGGCUCACUGGCUCGAUACUGACGCUGAGGUGCGAAAGCGUGGGGAGCUAACAGG